UCGAGAUUGAAACACAUCGAGUGAUUCAGAGAACUCGUGAAGCGAGCGGCGGCGGCUACUGUUGUGGGAUGACCAUCCCAACUGUCACCUCGUCCCCUCCUAGGAGGGGCACGGGGGGUACGGCCGGGGACAGAUGAAACACAAAUUGACGUAGCUCUGUGCCAAGGAAAAAUCAAAAAGCACGGGCCCCGCAUCAGGCUCGGUGGCAUGGAGCAUCACUGCGCUCCAUGCAGAUGGACAUGACUCCCAGGAAUGGAUAUCUUGACUCUUGCAUCGAUGAAGAGCAUAGUAAAAUGCAAUAUGUGGUGUGAAUUAUAGAAUCCCAUGAACCAUCAAGUCUUUGAACACAAGUUGUGCCCUAGGCUAGCCUGCCUAGGGCACAUCCUCCUGGAUGUCAAGCGUCACAUCGCUCCAUGCCAACUCUAUCCGCCCGAUGGGUGUGUGUCAGCCAAGGCAUAGACGUGCAGGGUGGCCCAUCAUUUCCUUCGGCGUGGUGAGCUGAAGAGCCAUUCGACAUCUCGCUGGCUGUGGGAAAUGAGGGGUGGGUGAAAGUUGUAAGCAUAACUCACAUUAUCUCAUGUUAAGCAUAAGAGAAUGAUGGUGUCCCUGAAGCGAUCCCGACCCAUGCACCGAUCUGCAUGCGGCAGCUUGGAAU
rnacentral:rRNA from 1 species